UCGGACCUUCACAUUGAUGGAGGCAACAUGAAGCAGGAGGAGAAUUCUGACUGUGAGACAGAGCGAGGCAACUCCCAGCAGUUUGUGGAAGUGGAGGUGUGGGUGGACUUCCUAGACAAUACAAACUCAAAUGGUAGAUAUGCAAGCUUGAGACAAUGAAGCUUUAUAUCGAUUCACCUUUGUAACGGGCUUUUAAUGAAAAUAAUGUGAAGUUGAACACUCAAUUCCUCGGUUCAUCCUGCAUAGUAAGAGCGGCCAGUAUUUGCGGACAUGUGGGUUUGGUAGAUCUCUAACCAGGAGCGAGAGCCAAUAAGCUCCCAAGCAUUCACUAUGUUAUAAUAUUAGCAUUUAUAUGGUGCUUGCUUAAUUGGCUCAGCAACUCAGAGUUUUGUAUCAAAUCUCAUCACAAACACUCGAAGAGCAUGUUGUAUACAUGCCUUUUCCAAAAAAAUAUAUAUUAAGAUUCUGCCCUUUUUAAAAAUAAUUUUGAUCGGGAUGUAGCGCUGUGGCACGGAAAGGGUGAGUCCCCCCCCUGCCUCCUACCUUGACACACAAAAGACAGCUGGAGGAUAAUUACUCACAAGCCUGCUUGGGAAGUCAUACAAUUUAAUAAAAAAAACUGGAAAACCAAAGGGGGGACUAAUGAGAUUCUGCGGGACAUCCCCAGUUGACUUCAGGAGGAAGACUGCCAUAAAGGAAACAACCCACAAUAGAAAAAACAUAAGACGGAAACAGCAGGGGUCACGAACCUCCCCGGACAGCAAAAUUCACCCAAGGGCAGUUAAUCAUUGAGCUGACUGGGGUUUUUAAAAUACAACAGUAAAGUUGGAAGCUUAGCUACAUCUUCAACCUGAGGAUAUCAAAAUAUAACUUGAGAAUAAGAAGCACGGAUCCCUGGCGAUACAGACAGGGAACAAAGGUUAAUAAAAACCUCGGAAUAUCCUUGGUAACAACUAUGGUAUACCACAAAUCUUGGUUAAGCAUGAACCAAAUAAUUAUUAAAGUAUUAGACCUAGGGUCAUUCAGAAGACAUACAAUGUGAAACAUGUCAAUCACACACGACCAAGAUAAUAUGUAUUCCACGGGAUCAGAGCCUCACCAGCUGCCUUUGUAUUCCAGUAGCUAACAGCACAUGGUAGCAGUAAAUUACGUAUGCAGUGGGUGCCUCCCCCUAACAUAUCAAAUACCACGCAAUAAUUCCAAACCGCGACGUGAGUACUGUGAACGCUGCUCAAAACAUACUUUGAGUCUCUUGCAGAGUCAAAACUGCGGAAAGUGUUACGAUACCAAGAGGUGUAAAAAUACUUUUUGUUUUUACUUGCAACCCGUGAUGAGAGGACGGAAAAUAUGACGACAGCAAGCACACCUGUGCACAAUAGGUCGCGACUUUAAAGACUGCAAGUCUGAGGCGGAAAAAAAUUAACACUUCCAAACUGUGAUGGGAGCGUGGGGAACGCUGCCCAAAACGUGAACGGAAACAUGGCGAUAAUUAAGACAUCCGGACAACAAACAGCCCAAGCGACUUCAAAAGGAAAGCCGCUGCCCCUUUGUGCGAAGAAAGAACGCAAGAACAGAAAUCAAUACUUCUCUUCACAGUCGACAAGGGUCAACAGCGUCUGGUGCCAAGGGGGGCGAUGCGCAGCAACCAGAGGACGAGCUGCGCCAGACACUGCUCGGUGUCUGGCGACAGGAUCAUCGCGCACAUCGACGCAGGCGGAGCCGUCAGCGUGACCAGCGUGCCGACUCGGGAACCACCCCAGCGGUGGAGAGAGACUGACGAAGCAGCCUAGAACGCCGUCUGUUCGACACACACGCCAACCCAGCACCCCUGCUGGGGACCCGAGGUGUUUUUGGUACAAGGAACGCUGCACCUCGGAAGCUGCUAACUCAACAGUUAGCAAGAAGACAACACACACAAUGCGCAUAUUGGAACUAUUAAGAUUGUUCCAAAAAGUUCUUUGUUUUGAAAAGGGUUGUCAUUCCAAGGUGGUGUGUUAACUAUUAGCUGAUCUUGAAAGGCAUUGUUUUGUCCCGUGAGUUACAUGAAUACGGUUGUUUAAAAAUAUUUGAGUCAUUAGUUUUCGUUAAUUGCAUAACCUUACCAAUGAAUUCAUUGAUGACACAACAUUUAUAAGCAUCUAUGUUACGAAUCUACACACAGGAAUACUAUUGUUUAGAUUUUUAAUUUGAUCACAAUCUCGUCCGCGAAUUCAUCGAUGUCCCAUUAGCCAAUUGAGAAGCAUAUGUUAGCCAAACAGGUACAACUAGCAUGCACACUUGUUUCAGGACAUUUCGUUAAUUGUGUAAUCUUCCCAAUGAAUUCAUUGAUGUCGACUUCUGCCAUUGGGCACAUGUUUCUUUAGCACGUUUAGUAUGAAUAUUGUCAUUUUUAAGGACUCUUCCUAACGCAGUGUAUUGUCGCGCUACUCUGAGGAGUUAGCCGAUUGUUCUGUUACUCAGUUUUAACAAACGUAAACAUUGAGGGUUAAUUGUAUGGAUCAAUGAGUCGGACAUCUUCAGGAGUACGGUGUUGACAAUUCCGAUCACAAGUGUGUUCGCAUAUGAGUGUUUUUAGAGAUUAAAGUUGCUUAACAUAGAA